rnacentral:lncRNA from 1 species
CUUUACAUCAUAACCUAGGUUCAUUUACACUAGGUUUUAUAUUCUUUCUCCUAGAUCUCAACUCUAGGUUUACUUACUUGACCUAUGUCCAAUGACACUAGGUUAAUGUCCGACCUAUGUUCAAUAACAUUAGGUUCAUUUCAUGUCCAACCUAUGUUUAAUAACACUAGGUUCAUGCCACUCGAUCUAUUCAUUAUCCUAGUUAUCCACGCCUAGGAUUAUAAUUUGCACAUUUUCAUUUACUUUGUUACCGUCCAGAUUUCUACUCAAUUGGAGUUGUCGAUUUAUACCCAAUUCUUAGGGAUUUAACAUGAGGUUCAUAGUUUACAUAUUCUCACUUAUCUUGUUACCAUCGAGAUUUCUAAUCAACUAGAAUUAUCGACAUUCAUAUAGCUUGAACUAUAGUACAUUCACUUUCAUAUAUGUUUAGACAUAGGCAUCAAACUUCCACUUUUAUGUGGAAACAAUUAUGUAGGCUUUAGCAUCUAUGUUCAUAAUUCAUAUUCAGUUUACAUGCCCUUGGCAUUUACAGGUUCAACAUUCAUAUAUCAUAUGUUUGCUCCUAUGAAUUUAGCAUAACCAUGCAUCUAGCUUUCACGUUCAUAUAUCGACAAUUAUAUGUAUCUAGCAUGAUCUACAAUAUAUUCAUAUGCCUCUAGCAUGUUCAUCAUCUGAUUACCAUUAUACAUCAUCUAGCAUUAACCAUAAUGCAUUCAUAUGUUAUUAAUCAUAUAUGCCUACUCAUAUGCAAUUAGCAUUAAUGUUCAUAUGUCGACAAUCAUAUUCAUAUAUGCGUCAAAUGAAACCAUAUUUUACUUUGGCAUGGAAGUGACCUAAUCACUUCGGUAAAGCACAACCCACCUUUACUUGAUACUGGAAUGCGAGAAAUCCGCUUCUCGCACUUUCCCGAGAACCGCGACCCGCGCUCCCGACAAUUGUAGCCGAGAAUGUUCUUUUGGCGAUAUCUUCACGUAGGCUCGACGGAUUGCCGAACCGAUUUCGCCAACGCGUUUGUUUUACCCUCAAUUAGGUUUGUACGCGGUCAAUUUCACGUUAGGACUUCAAUCCUGCAAAAGUGCAUUCUCGAGGUCAGUUUCUAUAGAAACCUGUUUCUAUGAAAUUUCACAAUUUACAUAGAGUAAUUCAACUCUUUACUAGCCCAAGAACCUCAAAACAAUUAGUUUAGAGGUCUCACAUCAAUCCCUAAUAAAGGAUUACAAAAAUCUACCCAAAUAAUUCAAUUCCAUCUUUCUCUCUAUCUUAUUUUCUUUCUUUCAUUUUUCUUCUUAUUCUUUCUUUCUUUCUUUCUUUCUUUCUUUCUUUUCUUUCUUGCUUUCUUCCUUUUCUUUUCUUUCUUUCUUUCUUGCUUCCCCUGCAGCUGAGCUGCUGCUGAUGCUGCACUACUGCUGGCAGGGCUGCUGUUGCUGGCUGGCUACUGCUGCUGCUGACAGCAGCUAGGCUGAGCUGCUGCUGCUGCUGUGCAAGCUGCUGCUACUGCUGCUGUUGACUGUUGCAGCUGCUGCUUUAGCUGCUGCUGCUG